AGCAGCCGCGGUAAUUCCAGCUCCAAUAGCGUAUAUUAAAGUUGUUGCAGUUAAAAAGCUCGUAGUUGAAUUUCGGGGUCAGUAGUUUGGUCGUGCCAAUGGUAUGUACUGGGUUCACUGAUUCCUCCUUCCUGAUGAACUGUAAUGCCAUUAAUUUGGUGUUGCAGGGAAACUGGACUGUUACUUUGAAAAAAUUAGAGUGUUUAAAGCAAGCUAACGCUUGAAUACAUUAGCAUGGAAUAAUGAAAUAGGACGUUCGAUCCUAUUUCGUUGGUUUCUAGGAUUGACGUAAUGAUUAAUAGGGAUAGUUGGGGGCAUUAGUAUUCAAUUGUCAGAGGUGAAAUUCUUGGAUUUAUUGAAGACUAACUACUGCGAAAGCAUUUGCCAAGGAUGUUUUCAUUAAUCAAGAACGAAAGUUAGGGGAUCGAAGACGAUCAGAUACCGUCGUAGUCUUAACCAUAAACUAUGCCGACUAGGGAUCGGAUGAUGUUAAUUUUUAAUGACUCAUUCGGCGCCUUAA
rnacentral:rRNA from 1 species